AUUGAACGCUGGCGGCAUGCUUUACACAUGCAAGUCGAACGGCAGCGGGGGCUUCGGUCCGCCGGCGAGUGGCGAACGGGUGAGUAAUGCAUCGGAACGUGCCCAGUCGUGGGGGAUAACACAUCGAAAGAUGUGCUAAUACCGCAUACGUCCUGAGGGAGAAAGCGGGGGAUCUUCGGACCUCGCGCGAUUGGAGCGGCCGAUGUCGGAUUAGCUAGUUGGUGGGGUAAAGGCCCACCAAGGCGACGAUCCGUAGCGGGUCUGAGAGGAUGAUCCGCCACACUGGGACUGAGACACGGCCCAGACUCCUACGGGAGGCAGCAGUGGGGAAUUUUGGACAAUGGGGGCAACCCUGAUCCAGCCAUGCCGCGUGAGUGAAGAAGGCCUCGG
rnacentral:rRNA from 1 species